CCUUGUACACCAAAUAAUUGUCGUUUUUAGUUCGAUUUGCUGAAUUCUUUUUUGAUUUUUCUACGAACUCUGGUGCCAAAAACUUGUCCAUCAUUAGUCUCCAUUUUUCUUUUGUAAUGUAUGUUGGAGGGAAAUCUUUGCAAGUCUCGUCAAGUUCUGAGACACCAGCAUUUCUCUUUGCAUCCAGUCUUGCUUUGCUAAGCCAUUUUGGAUAAUUAAUAGUCAGGUACUGAUUGAAUGCAUUCCGAGCACGGUCUUGGUCAUCAAAUUUAAAGAAUUUCUACGCAGAAAAAAUUAUUGAGUUAUUUCUCAAAUAAUCAAAUAAAUUGAACACAUAUAUAGAAGACAUACAAUCACAUAACAUACCAAAAAUUUGUCCCAAAUUAUAUCUUUAUCCUCAUCGCUCCAUUGAGCCCAUGUAAUUUCUGCUCCUGGAAUAAAUCCUUUAACCAAACAACCAAUUUGCUUUCGUAUAUCAUUUGGAAAUGUUCUGUAAGUUAAAUUUUAAGUUCAAUUAAUAUAAUGAAAAGAAAGUUAUUUGAUUAUUUGAUUUUGAAAUGAAUUACAUACCCAGAUUGAAAAACAACUCCAGGAAAUGGUGUUGAAGGUUGUGGAAUUCCUUUUGUAAAUUUUCUAGUACAUCGACGAGCUGAUUCCACCUCAUUGUCGACAGAUUGUCGUUGUCGACGUAUUUGACCACGCUUACGUCCUUGUCCACNNN
rnacentral:lncRNA from 1 species